rnacentral:rRNA from 1 species
GGUUGAUCCUGCCAGUAGUCAUAUGCUCGUCUCAAAGAUUAAGCCAUGCAUGUGUAAGUAUAAGCGAUUGUACUGAAUGACGAACUAGAGCGAACGGCUCAUUAUAUCAAGUCAUAAUUUCUUCGGUAGUUAAUCUUUUAUAUGGAUACCUGCAGUAAUUCUGGGGAUCGAUAGAUGCUGUAAGAUCCCAUCGUAUGGGUCUAGACACUUAUUAGAUUGAUGCCGACUUGCGAUUGUUGGGUGCUUUAUUAUAAUGUGCCUCAGCAGCAUUGCACUAUUUUGAGAAAUCGAUGAAGUCGUUUGAGUUUCUGCCCCAUCAGUUGUCGACGGUAGUGUAUUGGUCGUACGGCUGAAACUAUAACGGAAUUGACGGAGAGUUAGGGCUCGACUCCGGAGAUGGAGCCUGAGAGACGGCUUACCAUAUCCAAUGACUAGCAGCAGGCGGGUAAACUUACCCACUGUGGACUCCAGACAUAGGUAGGAUUGACAGAUUGAGAGCUCUUUCAUGAUUCUAUGCGGUGCGUGGUGCAUGGCCGUUCUUAGCUAUCGGAAUGGAGUGAUUUGUCAAUGGUUAAUUCCGUUAUCGAACGAGAUCAACUCGGCCUAGGGCUAAAUAGUGCGUGGUAUGGCAGCAUAGUCCGUUUUAACUUCUUAGAGGGACAUGUCCAGAAGUUUACGUGCUAGGAAGUUCGUUGCAGUUAAACAGGUCUGUGAUGCCCUUAGAAUUUCUGGCAUGGGCCGACACGCGUGCUUUCCCUGAAUGGGGAUUGAUUGUCUGUGUUGCCUUGGCCAUCUUUUUCUUUUCUUUAUAGGAAUUGAGUGCUUGGUCGGAAGGCCUGGCUAAUCCUUGGAACGCUCAUCGUGCUGGGGCUAGAUUUUUGCAAUUAUUAAUCUCCAACGAGGAAUUCCUAGUAAACGCAAGUCAUCAGCUUGCAUUGAAUACGUCCCUGCCCUUUGUACACACCGCCCGUCGCACCUACCGAUUGAACGGUCCGAUGAAACCAUGGGAUGUUUCUGUUUGGAUUAAUUUUUGGACAGAGGCAGAACUCGGGUGAAUCUUAUUGUUUAGAGGAAGGUGAAGUCGUAACAAGGUUUCCGUAGGUGAACCUGCGGAAGGAUCAUUAAUCU